UGGUCGCUUUUACCAAAGAAGAGGAAAUGCGAAGGAAUGGGACACCUUGACCGGCAUCUGGAUAAAAUGCCAACCUCUUCCUCAAGCCUCCAGAACUGAAGUCAAGGGUCUGGCACACAAAACAUGCAAAAACAUGCUUAUUUAUUCUCAAUAUUAUCACAAUUACCUUUGUUUUUCACAAUUAAUAGCAGAUUCAUUAUGCCAGAUAGCGUUAGACUUUCUCUGAUAAACUGUUUCAUUAGAUUCUCAGAUGAUAUAAGAUAAUUAUUUAUAGUGUCUACAGAGUCCAACGAUGUGAGAUCCACUUCAAAGAAAGUUUCACAGCAGCAAAAACUUACUGACAGAAAAUUUCAGAAUACCCUCAGCAACUCCUCUCAGAAUAGCUGUUUUUAGACAGAAGUGUCACUGACCCAUCUACUCAUUCCCAAAGUUUUACAGCCUCCUCUUGAGUAAACAUACAUGGAUGCAUAUUGAUAGUCUAAAUUCACUACAGAUAAAACAGAGUUGUUUGUCUUACAGCAGCGGACCGUUAGCUAGGAUUAUGCACUUGAAUUGGAAGCGGUAGGAAAACAAAAUUCAUCUGACUGCAAUUUUGUCAUGGUCCGGGUGUGUGCCAGUGUGUUUCCCUCCGAGCCGGCGUCUCCACCCCUGGGAGGGGCUUCAGUGUUUUUGCUGAUCGCUGACAUCUGUGGGUAAUUAGCCGGGGGACUCAUAAGGCCAGCGUUCUCAAUCUCUCUUCGCCAGAUUCUCUGCUAAACAUCACUACACCUAACUGUUAACCCCUGGCGAAGAGCUUCUACUUGGAUGCUGGACCUUCUGGCAGUCCCUCAGGCUAUUACCAAAACUCCCUCCCUGCCUCUCUGCCUCCACGUCAGGACCUUUUGGAUUUACACACCCGGACUACUCCUCCUCUAUGCCACCUCCGACCUCCGUUGGCAAUGACCCCGACCUUUUCCUGGACCCUUUGUGACUUGCUUUCCAGUCCAAUCCUCGGAAUAGCUGUCCUCUCUGACCCGGACCAGAUCGUUAUUUAGUUUAACGUCUACACUCACCUUUUGUUUAUGAAUAUUUUGUGUAUACAUUAAACA